rnacentral:miRNA from 1 species
GGUUGGCCGAAAAGUUCAUUUGGUUUUUUUUCUGUAAGAUAUUAUCGAAAAACCUGAAUGAACUUUUUGGCCAACUCAA